rnacentral:rRNA from 1 species
GACGUAGGAUGCGAGCGUUUAUUCGGAUUUAUUGGGCGUAAAGCGUGCGUAGGCGGCUGUUUAAGUCUGGUGUUAAAGCUAGGGGCUCAACCCCUGUGGUGCAUCGGAUACUGGGCAGCUUGAGUGCGGUAGGGGAAGGUGGAAUUCCGAGUGUAGCGGUGAAAUGCGUAGAUAUUCGGAAGAACACCGGUGGCGAAGGCGACCUUCUGGGCCGCAACUGACGCUGAGGCACGAAAGCGUGGGGAGCAAACAGG